rnacentral:rRNA from 1 species
AGGGCACCACCAGGAGUGGAGCCUGCGGCUUAAUUUGACUCAACACGGGAAAACUCACCCGGCCCGGACACUGGAAGGAUUGACAGAUUGAGAGCUCUUUCUUGAUUCAGUGGGUGGUGGUGCAUGGCCGUUCUUAGUUGGUGGAGUGAUUUGUCUGGUUAAUUCCGAUAACGAACGAGACUCUAGCCUAUUAAAUAGAUCGUUGGCUUACAAACGCCGGCGAGACUUCUUAGAGGGACAGGCGGCGAUUCAGCCGCACGAAACAGAGCAAUAACAGGUCUGUGAUGCCCUUAGAUGUCCGGGGCCGCACGCGCGCUACACUGAAGUGAUCAGCGUGCAUUUUGAAACCUACUCUGUCAAGAGUGGGGAACCCAAUGAACCUUCUUCGUGAUUGGGAUAGAAGAUUGUAAUUAUUCCCCUUGAACGAGGAAUUCCCAGUAAGCGCGAAUCAUAAGUUUGCGCUGAUUACGUCCCUGCCCUUUGUACACACCGCCCGUCGCUACUACCGAUUGAAUGUUU